CCUACGGGGGGCAGCAGUGAGGAAUAUUGGUCAAUGGGCGAGAGUCUGAACCAGCCAAGUAGCGUGAAGGAUGACUGCCCUAUGGGUUGUAAACUUCUUUUAUAUGGGAAUAAAACGUUCCACGUGUGGGAUUUUGUAUGUACCAUAUGAAUAAGGAUCGGCUAACUCCGUGCCAGCAGCCGCGGUAAUACGGAGGAUCCGAGCGUUAUCCGGAUUUAUUGGGUUUAAAGGGAGCGUAGGUGGAUUGUUAAGUCAGUUGUGAAAGUUUGCGGCUCAACCGUAAAAUUGCAGUUGAAACUGGCAGUCUUGAGUACAGUAGAGGUAGGCGGAAUUCGUGGUGUAGCGGUGAAAUGCUUAGAUAUCACGAAGAACUCCGAUUGCGAAGGCAGUUCACUGGACUGCAACUGACACUGAGGCUCGAAAGUGUGGGUAUCAAACAGGAUUAGAUACCCUUGUAGUC
rnacentral:rRNA from 1 species